UGGGGAAUAUUGCACAAUGGGCGCAAGCCUGAUGCAGCCAUGCCGCGUGUGUGAAGAAGGCCUCGGUUGUAAAGCACUUUCAGCGAGGAGGAAGGUGGUGGACUUAAUACGUUCAUCAAUUGACGUUACUCGCAGAAGAAGCACCGGCUAACUCCGUGCCAGCAGCCGCGGUAAUACGGAGGGUGCAAGCGUUAAUCGGAAUUACUGGGCGUAAAGCGCACGCAGGCGGUUUGUUAAGUCAGAUGUGAAAUCCCCGGGCUCAACCUGGGAACUGCAUUUGAAACUGGCAAGCUAGAGUCUCGUAGAGGGGGGUAGAAUUCCAGGUGUAGCGGUGAAAUGCGUAGAGAUCUGGAGGAAUACCGGUGGCGAAGGCGGCCCCCUGGANGAAGACUGACGCUCAGGUGCGAAAGCGUGGGGAGCAAACAGAUUAGAUACCCUGGUAGUCCACGCUGUAAACGAUGUCGAUUUU
rnacentral:rRNA from 1 species